UGGAAAUGAAGAUGGGCAAGUGGCGCCAUGACUGUGGCCUCCUGGUCUGAGUGACCAGACUUCCUACGGUACGAUGAAUCAAAUCAGAGAGACUACGCUUGGUCCUUGGAAGCAAAACUAUGACCAACCUAGCAUAUUAAAAAGCAAAGACAUUACUUUGCUAACAAAGGUCCAUCUAGUCAAAGCUAUGGUAUUUCCAGGAGUCUUGUAUGAAUGUGAGAGUUGGAUUAUAAAGAAAGCUGAGCACCGAAGAAAUGAUAUUUUUGAAUUGUGGUGUUGGAGAAGACUCUUGAGAGUCCCUUGGACUGUAAGGAGAUCCAACCAGUCCAUCCUAAAGGAGAUCAGUCCUGGGUGUUCAUUGGAAGGACUGAUGCUAAAGCUGAAACUUCAAUACUUUGGCCACCUGAUGCGAAGAGCUGACUCAUUGGAAAAGACCCUGAUGCUGGGAAAGAUUGAGGGCAGGAGGAGAAGGGGAUGACAGAGGACGAGAUGGUUGGAUGGCUUCACUGACUCAAUGGACAUGAGUUUGAGUAGGCUCUGGGAGCUAGUGAUGGACAGGGAGGCCUGGUGUGCUGCAGUUCAUGGGGUCGCAAAGAGUUGGACACGACUGAGCGGCUGAGCUGAACUGUAGCUUUCACGUGUGAUCGUCCAUUUUCUGUAGAAACUCUAUGAGAACAUUUACCAUGUCCUCCUCAUCUGAGUUAAAUAUUGGAAAACUCAGUCACGGGCAGGGACCAAGGAGCAUGGAAUGCCCUUGUCAGGAACCUGGUUGAUGGGAGGCUAGCCAGAGAGCUUCAGAAAGCUGGUAAGUGACCCCAGUGCCUCUCUCAUUUUUUGGACUAUUAACCCAUCCAUUCCACAGUGUGCCUUGGCACUGUCCUAGACAACAGGGACCUAAUGGGGAGUAGGAAAGACCAAAGAUAUGGCCUCUAACCUUGCAGGGUUGACUGUCUUAGUUGCUGGCCCAGGUAAUCUGGAAACUUGCAGUCAUGGGGAAGAGGGCUAUUCCAGUUGGCAGACCCCAUAGAGUCUGAAGCCAUGAUCUCACUAUGUACCUAUGCCUUCAAGCCUCCAGUAAUAUUGAUUUAGGUAUCCUUCUCCAUGAACCAACCUGUAUCCUUUUCCAUGAAUCAACCUGCCUUGGCAACCAACCUUGGCAACUUGGCAACAGAAGUCUUUUUCUAUUGCUUCAAGCAAAGCAUUAGGUUCAGAUGCUUUCACAAUGAUAGGUAGCCUUGGUGAAACUUUGAGCUCACAGAGUUUGUUAUCCUUGGCUGCCCAGUGACACUUUAUCAACAGACUGGAGUAGAGGUGAAGGAUGAAAAACAGAUAUACUGUUAACAGAAAUGACUUGCAGUAACCUACUGCAUGUCUGGCCCUGAGAGUUCAUCAUCUGCUAACAGGCUUCAAACAAACCUGAGUGAAAACAGAGGCUCUGAGACAUUCAGUAACUUGCCAAAACUAGUAAGUGGCCAAGCUGGAAUUUCAAUCCUGAUCUGAAAAAGCAGAUACUCUUGCAAUUUUUCUAAAUGCAUCUCUACAGGGUAUGAAUCCAGUCCCCAAGAAGCUUUUCAUCCAGGUGAAUAGACAAGCCUCAUCCAAGAAACCACAAAUUAGGAACAGUACUGGUGGAGAUGUUCUCUGUAGAAGCAAAGGCACGUAAGAGGGAAGACAUAGUUGUCUUAGUGGAUUUGAGGACAGUGAAUAGAUUAAGGCUUGCUGGCCUGGGGAGGCCUGGAAGAGGGGUGGGUCCCCCUUGUGACCAGCUUUGGAUGCCAUAAUAAACAGAAUGGGUCUUCUCUUCCAGGCACUGGGUAAUCUUUGUGAAGAUUUGUGACAGUAUAAAGUAACAGCAGCAGUUGAGGAUGAUGCAUUUCAGAUAAAUUACAAGUUCCUUCUUGGGGUGGGUUUUUAUUUAAGGGAAUGAUCACAGGGCUGGGAUAUGUCCAUGCAUCCCAGGACAAAACAAGAUGGCAUCUGGUUUCCUGUAAGUUUUUUAGGUUUGUUGUAAGACCAUCUAACAGUCGUCGGUUGGUGAAUGGUUAAGUUGGUAUAGUCACGUGAUAGAAUAUUUUGCAACCAUCAGAAAUAUUUAGGAAGGAUGAAUUCAUUAUAACAUGUAAAAAUGCUUAUGUCAAAGAACAGAACUACAAAACUGAAAGUCUUAAUAAUAGUAAAAACAACAGUAAUAGUAGUAAUAUAUCAUCCAAGGGGAGGAAAGUGGAAAGAAAGGGAAAAAUACAGAAUGCUAACAGUAGUUCUGUUAAGGUGAUGAGAUCCAUGGGUGACUUCCCCACCCCAGGCCCUCAGCAACUUCUCUACGUUUCCCCAGUUUUUCUUUACUGACAUGCAUUCCGCUUUUGGACAUCUAUUCUUUUCUUUUCUCUUAAAAAAAAAAAAAAACCCAAACAACUUUGUCUUUCCAAACUGCUAUUUUGUCAUACCUAUGCUGCAGGGGAGCAAUGAGGAGCAAAAGAACAAACAGAUGCAGAGUACCCAGAGCGGUGCUUCGCACAGCACUGGGCGCUCUAGGACUGUUAGGUGAGAAGGGUCGCAUGACCCGGCUUCCCCGCGGCACCAGAACCCUGCCCGGGGGCACAGACUCUUCCGACGUCGACGCUCGCCAGGUCCAGCAAGCACGGUGACCAAAGAAGCUGCCGCCGCCGCCGCCGCCGCCGCCAAAGUGAGCCCUGCGGACGUGGAGCCCGGGCCGCACCGCCCCACACACACCCACUUCAGCAACCUCGCGCGACGGCGCGCGCACCACGGCCCCACCCCCUAUGACGCGCCUCCAGGAGGCGGGAUCACGGAGGCCCCGCCCCGCGCUCCUCCGAUUGGCCGCCGCGCUGUCACCACCACGUCGCGGGAAGCUGGCGGGGCUCGGACGCAGGCCCAGACACCUUCAUGAUUGGUGCACUCUUCUGUCCUUCAAAGAGGUAGGUUCUAGAGUCCGUUUUGCCUCAGCGGGCCCCGGGAUUGGCCGGCAGCAGCGUAGCGGCG
ensembl:lncRNA